GAAAGGUCAGGUCAGGUCAGGUUAGGUUAGAUUAGGUUAGUGGGAUGUGGUGGGGUUAGGAGUUUGAUUAGGUUAGAUUAGGUUAGGUUAAGGGUAAGGUCAGGUUAGAUUAGGUUAAUGGGAUGUGGUGGGGUUAGGAGUUUGAUUAGGUUAGAUUAGGUUAGGUUAAGGGUAAGGUCAGGUUAGAUUAGGUUAGUGGGAUGAGGUGGGGUUAGGAGUUUGAUUAGGUUAGAUUAGGUUAGGUUAAGGGUAAGGUCAGGUUAGAUUAGGUUAGGUCAGGGGGGUGAGGAGUCUGAUUAGGGUAGAAUAGGUUAUGUAAGGGUAAGGUCAGGUCAAGUCAGGUUAGAUUAGGUUAGGUCAGGGGGGUGAGGAGUCUGAUUAGGGUAGAAUAGGUUAUGUAAGGGUAAGGUCAGGUCAGAUGAGACGAGUCAGGGGAGAGGGAGGACACUUUUUUUUCUUCUUUUUUUUUACAUCUUCGCCUGUAGCGCCGGUAUGCAUGUUUUGGAGGGGCCUGAUGGUAUGGCCCAGCCCGUUGUGGCGCAGCCCAGUGUUUAUAGUGGCGCCAUCUUGCAUUGGCUCAUGCUGCCCUCCCGGAGCUCAUCUUUAAUCCUAGAAUCUAGAGUCCGGGUUGAUAGGUGGUCUUCUGGACAGCAUGUGGGUAGGUUAGAUUAGGUAAAGCUUAGUUUUUCAUAUACCUGUGAUUGAGAAAGGUUAGGUCAGGUCAGGUCAGGUCAUUCUUUCUCUUUCUCUUUCUCUUUCUUCCUUUCCUCCCUUUCUUUUUUCCGAUUUUCUUCCAUAGCUUCCUCUUCUCCUCUCCUCUUCCAUGUUAAGAAUAAAUAGGAGGAGGAGGAGGAGGAGGAGGAGGUAGAAGUGCUGAUGAGAGAGAGAGAGAGAGAGAG